rnacentral:rRNA from 1 species
CCUACGGGAGGCAGCAGUGGGGAAUAUUGGACAAUGGGGGGAACCCUGAUCCAGCGACGCCGCGUGAGUGAAGAAGUAUUUCGGUAUGUAAAGCUCUAUCAGCAGGGAAGAAAGAAAUGACGGUACCUGACUAAGAAGCCUCGGCUAACUACGUGCCAGCAGCCGCGGUAAGACGUAGGGGGCAAGCGUUAUCCGGAUUUACUGGGUGUAAAGGGAGCGUAGACGGCGAUGCAAGUCUGAAGUGAAAGGCGGGGGCCCAACCCCCGGACUGCUUUGGAAACUGUAUGGCUGGAGUGCAGGAGAGGUAAGUGGAAUUCCUGGUGUAGCGGUGAAAUGCGUAGAUAUUAGGAGGAACACCAGUGGCGAAGGCGGCUUACUGGACUGUAACUGACGUUGAGGCUCGAAAGCGUGGGGAGCAAACAGGAUUAGAUACCCUUGUAGUC